rnacentral:rRNA from 1 species
UACGUAGGUCCCGAGCGUUAUCCGGAUUUAUUGGGCGUAAAGCGAGCGCAGGUGGUUAGAUAAGUCUGAAGUUAAAGGCUGUGGCUUAACCAUAGUACGCUUUGGAAACUGUUUAACUUGAGUGCAGAAGGGGAGAGUGGAAUUCCAUGUGUAGCGGUGAAAUGCGUAGAUAUAUGGAGGAACACCGGUGGCGAAAGCGGCUCUCUGGUCUGUAACUGACGCUGAGGCUCGAAAGCGUGGGGAGCAAACAGGAUUAGAU